GGCUUACACAUGCAGUCGCGGGGCAGCAUGGGGGUUGCUUGCAAUCCUCGAUGGCGACCGGCGCACGGGUGAGUAACGCGUAUCCAACCUGCCCUUCACCACGGGAUAACCCGGCGAAAGUCGGACUAAUACCGUAUGUUGUCCAUUGACGGCAUCCGAUUUGGACGAAAGGCUUUGCGGUGAGGGAUGGGGAUGCGUCCGAUUAGCUCGACGGCGGGGUAACGGCCCACCGUGGCGACGAUCGGUAGGGGUUCUGAGAGGAAGGUCCCCCACACUGGAACUGAGACACGGUCCAGACUCCUACGGGAGGCAGCAGUGAGGAAUAUUGGUCAAUGGGCGGAAGCCUGAACCAGCCAAGUAGCGUGCAGGAUGACGGCCCUAUGGGUUGUAAACUGCUUUUAUGCGGGGAUAAAGGAGUCCACGUGUGGGCUUUUGCAGGUACCGCAUGAAUAAGGACCGGCUAAUUCCGUGCCAGCAGCCGCGGUAAUACGGAAGGUCCGGGCGUUAUCCGGAUUUAUUGGGUUUAAAGGGAGCGUAGGCCGCCCCUUAAGCGUGUUGUGAAAUGCGGGUGCUCAACAUCCGACUUGCAGCGCGAACUGGGGGGCUUGAGUGCGCCGAAAGUAGGCGGAAUUCGUGGUGUAGCGGUGAAAUGCUUAGAUAUCACGAAGAACUCCGAUUGCGAAGGCAGCUUACUGUAGCGCAACUGACGCUGAUGCUCGAAAGCGUGGGUAUCGAACAGGAUUAGAUACCCAGGUAGUCCACGCGGUAAACGAUGGAUGCUCGUUGUCGGCCUUUUUGGUCGGUGACCAAGCGAAAGCGUUAAGCAUCCCACCUGGGGAGUACGCCGGCAACGGUGAAACUCAAAGGAAUUGACGGGGGCCCGCACAGGCGGAGGAACAUGUGGUUUAAUUCGAUGAUACGCGAGGAACCUUACCCGGG
rnacentral:rRNA from 1 species